UUACUUUAGAUUUAUGGGCAUUAGCAGCACUAAAGCGUUAGCAUCCGGCUUGCUAUCGCUAGCACAGUAUGCUAGUAAAGUUAGCACCUAGAUUAAUGUGGAUUUGGCUGAUUUUCGUGGAAUAAAACGUGAUUUCUGAUCAACGCCUUCUUUUACACCAGAUGAUAACCUCCCACUGAUUGUAACAGCAGAGAGCCUGUGUGUUAUUCUACGUGAGUGUGAUGUAAUCUUAGCAUCCAGCAAAUAAAGUCCCAUAUCAGCUAAAAUGCAGCGUGACAAAGUCAUUAAAGUGCGUCAACACAGUGGAUUUAAUAGAGUUUUAAAGAACGAUCUCUGAGUGGAGUGAGGUUAGUUUUUUUGUCUCACUGCAGAUAUAAAAACUAACUCUGCAUCAGUCAGACGCAGCAAAGCUCACCGUCUGUAUGAGCGUGAGCGUCGGAAAGCUGAUAAAAUCGGCUGUAAAAUAAUUAAAACAAAAGUAAAAAUGCUCCUUUGCUUUUUAGAGUCAACAUCCAGAAGUCUGGAGCCGUGUUUCACUGACAGGCUGUCAGACUAACGCCCUGAUGAGCUCAGCUGGGACAAACUGGUCUGAUGUUUAGGAACACAGAACGUUCAGAUGUUGGCGUUUCACGUCACCUACUGAGGAAGGAGGCUCACCAGUAAAGAGAUGGUAGCUGGACCAGACCAAAAAUAUGGCGAUGACAUCAUGGAACUGGUCUUUGGAAAAGUUUUCCCUGAACCAACUCCGUUUCUAGAUGAGGUAGAGAAGAUCUGCAUCUCACCAACCCUCUGGUCUCAGUAUUCAGACAACGGAGGUCUCCCACUGUUAUCCAGGACCAGUUUGAAGCCCACAUACUGCCCCUCCCUCAUCAUCAGGAAACAUCAAUCCGUUUCCUGAGGACAACAGAAGACGGCAGGAGGACAGGAACUCUGUGACCUAGAUACCACCAGCACCGAGACACAAAGCACCUGUGUGCACAACGCCUGUUUAACUACUAAAGCCUGUUUAUUAUAUUGUUCUACUUAUUUGCUGUGAGGUUAAUACUUAGAAAAUUUGUAUAUUAAUGUAAACAAUAAAAAAAAUCACUGAUUGUAUGUUUUCUUUUAGAUGUAAUGGUCCAAACUCAGCCUUGUAGACAUUUAUUGCAUCCUGUAGGUAACAGGCUCAGAUCCAGGAUGACCCAGCAUGCUCUUCUUCCAUUCUGGCUGUUAGGG